AAGCCAUGAUUUGGACACUUAUGCAACAUGGAUUUGUAGCGCUCCCAUGCUUCACAGAUUAUUUCUAUUGAAAUUUUUGUGAAUGCAGAAAUAACUGUCUUU